AAAGAUCCACCUCAUUUCAGACUCUCCCAGUAAGCGUCCAUCUUCAUCACUCUCUUUUAGAACCCUAAUUCCCAAACAACAAAUUACGCGCAUAAUUAUGCUCUAUCCGAUCAAAUCUACUAAUUUUUGGCGGAACUGCGAGAUUUUUCUUCGGGGAAGGCAUCGAUAGCGCACACAGUAAUCCUCCCUCGGGCCAAACCAUUGGAUUGCGUACAAGGCUUUAUACCAUGAAGCAGCAUGAAGAGAGAGAAGUAUGCACUACUUCAUUUCGGAACCCUGAUCCAAAGAGUGUUCUUUAAAAGAUUCGUUUCUGCAUAUUCUCCAUUGUCCCGGUGAAAGUACGCACAAGGGAAAUUGUUGAAUGGGAUUUCAGGCAAAGAGACUUUUAACUCUCAGGACUGUGACCCUCUGCAUACUGAUGGCAAGGUUAGUCGCUUAUUAGAAAGGCAAAAAAAUAUGGGUAUUUACUUUUACGAUGUACAAAUGAAGACAUGAUUGUUGCAGUAAAAGGUGCUCUCUGGAAAUUUCGUUUCGUUUUUCUUGAUCUUGUGUUCUUGGUCCUAGAAAGAGAGAUGAUCACCAUUACCUAAUUCUUGAAGUUUAUAUUUAAAUUUAGGUGUGGUAAUAUGGAUCCAUACUGAUCCGGUCCGACCCGCAUUGGGUCGAACAAAAAAUCGAGCUAACAGUUUGUGUGUUGAACCAUUAAGGUGUUUGGGAUAAUAUUAAUUUUGGCUGCGAAGUUGGGGUAUUACCCGAACGAGGUUAUACGUUGUGUGUUAUUAUUUUACUGUAUGUUGUCAUUGGGUACGUACUAUGUUUUUUAAUCGUCAAGCGAAAUUCACAUUUUUUUUCA